CAUACGAAGAGUGCAGAUGGAUCAAUACGGUCGACAGAAGUUUUAACUAUCUGGAGUGCGGAUAAAUUUUUACUGAGAGUCGUAUAGGAAUCUAUAAUCUAGUACUUUCGAAAAUACGCCGAGAGUAUUCCUGAUGGUGAAACGAGCGUUGCUUCAUCGAACGCAGCUAAAGAAAACAACAUCUAUGUAGUUGGUGGUACGAUGCCUGAAAUAGAGGGCGAUAAAUUGUACAAUACCUGUACUAUUUGGGGUCCCGAUGGAACUUUGAUAGCAAAACACCGAAAGUCUUUAACGGAAGGACAAAAAGAAGAGCAGACGGCACAC